AAAAAAAGUACAAAAGAAUAUUAUAUCCUGGUGCUGAGCGGUACCCCUCAGAUAGCGCCCCCUCCAAUCGCCAACUUGGAGGUUAAGCUGAGAUGACGUAUGUCGUCAAGGGCAAGACUAUAUUUGACCAACUAAGAAUAAAACCACAGGAGGAGAAGCCAUCAGGAGCUCAUAAAAAUUAGAAGCUGGCACGGUUCGCAUCUUAUUCUUGUACAAGAGCAUUGCGGUAACGAUGAGGUCUCCGUCGCCUGAGUAAAGGACUUAAGUGUCUUGACUCAAAAUAAGAGACUGUAUUGCAUGUUAGACGUAACAAUGCGACUAGUCACCGGGCGUCGCAUGGAUCACUAAGACCCGAACAUCAGCCACUCCCAUUAGUCUAAUUUACGAGUAGGGAUAAGUUUCCGGGAGUGAACCAAAGAUGUCCGAGUGGAACAAGAUAUCUAGGACUGCAGAACGUGGACUCGAUGAGAGCUAGUCGGACGACUAAAGUGACCAGACGCAUUUUAAUACUGAGGUUACUAUUAAUAUAUAAAAUCAUUGUGGGUAACUAUCGAGAGAGCGAGAGAAUUACACACAAGAGAACGAGCAAAUUACCAGCCAAAAACUGGACAACUACAACCGGGAAAAGAAAACCGAACACCAGCUACAACUCUUCAUCUGGUUGCUGCUAAAAGAAAAUCAAGAAUUAGAAAAACGGUCAUCAGUCUUAAAACGUUGGAGUUAAUUAACAUGAAAAAUAUGUGAAGUAGUCUAUUUUAUAUUAUCUGCAUUACCUUAUUUGAAUUUAACUAGUUGGAAAAUAAUUAAACGAAGACUAUCUACAGAACGAAAAAAAAGAAAAGUUAAGGAUAAGUGAUAGUAAUUUCAUAGUAAGAUUGUAUCCAUCUAAGCAUCAUCAUGACAAAAGAAUCUACGUGUUCGGGAAUUCAACCAGACUAUUUUUCUACCAGAGAACUAAUUGUGGUCUCAUUGAUCCGUUUUUUUUCUUUUUAUUAUAAAAAACAAGUAGAAGAGUAAGAGAAAAAUAAAAACCACCAAUAAGUUGAAUUAUUUUUUUUCUUUUUU